AUCCUGGCUCAGAUUGAACGCUGGCGGAAUGCUUUACACAUGCAAGUCGAACGGCAGCAUAGGUGCUUGCACCUGAUGGCGAGUGGCGAACGGGUGAGUAAUACAUCGGAACGUGCCCAGUCGUGGGGGAUAACUGCUCGAAAGAGCAGCUAAUACCGCAUACGAUCUGAGGAUGAAAGCGGGGGACCUUCGGGCCUCGCGCGAUUGGAGCGGCCGAUGGCAGAUUAGGUAGUUGGUGGGGUAAAGGCUUACCAAGCCUGCGAUCUGUAGCUGGUCUGAGAGGACGACCAGCCACACUGGGACUGAGACACGGCCCAGACUCCUACGGGAGGCAGCAGUGGGGAAUUUUGGACAAUGGGCGAAAGCCUGAUCCAGCCAUUCCGCGUGCAGGAUGAAGGCCCUCGGGUUGUAAACUGCUUUUGUACGGAACGAAAAGCCUUGGGUUAAUACCCUGGGGUCAUGACGGUACCGUAAGAAUAAGCACCGGCUAACUACGUG
rnacentral:rRNA from 1 species